rnacentral:rRNA from 1 species
AUUGAACGCUGGCGGCAGGCCUAACACAUGCAAGUCGAGCGAGCGGCGGACGGGUGAGUAAUGUCUGGGAAACUGCCUGAUGGAGGGGGAUAACUACUGGAAACGGUAGCUAAUACCGCAUACCAUCAGAUGUGCCCAGGUGGGAUUAGCUAGAGGGUGGGGUAACGGCUCACCUAGGCGACGAUCCCUAGCUGGUCUGAGAGGAUAACCAGCCACACGGGAACUGAGCCACGGUCCAGCCUCCUACGAGAGGCAGCAGUGGGGAAUAUUGCACAAUGGGCGCAAGCCUGAUGCAGCCAUGCCGCGUGUGUGAAGAAGGCCUUCGGGUUGGAAAGCACUUUCAGCGGGGAGGCGUUACCCGCAGAAGAAGCACCGGCUAACUCCGUGCCAGCAGCCGCGGUAAUAC